rnacentral:rRNA from 1 species
CCUACGGGUGGCUGCAGUGAGGAAUAUUGGUCAAUGGCCGCAGGGCUGAACCAGCCAAGUCGCGUGAGGGAUGAUGGUCCUAUGGAUUGUAAACCUCUUUUGUCAGGGAGCAAAGGGCGCCACGUGUGGCGUUUUGCGAGUACCUGACGAAAAAGCAUCGGCUAACUCCGUGCCAGCAGCCGCGGUAAUACGGAGGAUGCGAGCGUUAUCCGGAUUUAUUGGGUUAAAAGGGUGCGCAGGCGGAAUGUCAAGUCAGCGGUAAAAUUUCGGGGCUCAACCCCGUCGUGCCGUUGAAACUGGCGUUCUUGAGUGAGCGAGAAGUAUGCGGAAUGCGUGGUGUAGCGGUGAAAUGCUUAGAGAUCAUGAAGAACUCCGAUCGCGAAGGCAAGUGGCCGGGGUGCAACUGACGCUGAGGCUCGAAAGUGCGGGUAUCAAACAGGAUUAGAUACCCGAGUAGUC